rnacentral:rRNA from 1 species
UACGUAGGGAGCGAGCGUUAUCCGGAUUUAUUGGGUGUAAAGGGUGCGUAGGCGGCUUAUUAAGUCUGUGGUUUAAGCCCGAAGCUUAACUUCGGUUCGCCACAGAAACUGAUUUGCUUGAGUAUGGUAGAGGCAAGUGGAAUUUCUAGUGUAGCGGUUAAAUGCGUAGAUAUUAGAAGGAACACCAGUGGCGAAGGCGACUUGCUGGGCCAUUACUGACGCUGAGGCACGAAAGCGUGGGGAGC